CUUUCAAUGAGUACAGACUCCAAGACAUGGAAUCAGAGAGCAGAAGAAUCAGAGAUCACCUUACACCUUUUCUAUUUGACAGGCUACUGAUGGAGCAGGAGAAAACGCUGGAACAACUGUGGUUAGAAGUAAUAGCAGGGAGCCCUGCACCAAGGAAGACACAGAAGAAAACCCUCAGCUCCAGAAACAGGAAUCCAAAACUUGCCCAGGCAGCAAAGCCACCCCUGAG
rnacentral:lncRNA from 1 species